GGUAGGAUCGGCCACCACAGCCUGCUGUCCCCAGCACUCUGGGGACCCACAGCAGCUCCAGCUCUGCAGAAGUUAUGGGUAUGGCUGUUCCUUGCUGCAGGAAGGAUGGUGACAGAGGGAGACAGGAGAAAGCUGAUCCAUCAUUGGAAGGAAUCAAGGAAUAAAUUAGGGACCCUCAUGUGCCAGGACAUGGUGGCAGAAGUGACACUGUGAUGGACAAUGCUGUCACCUGUACCUUCCUCUCUCUGUGGAUCCAUGCUAUUACAGAGAUGCACUUUUUUACAGAAACACUUUUCCAUUAUUUUUCAAGUUGGGAACACUGUGCCACAACAGAACAUGGCAUCCCUGACCCUUGGCUGGCAUCAUCACUCUCAGCAAAGAAGCUGCAGAUGUCAGGGAACUGGGAUCAUUUUCUCAGCAUCUUUUCAUUGGUGUUUCAGUUUCGUGCUUAUUUAUGCUCUGGGGAAAAAAAAAUGUCUUUGAAAUGGGAAUCUUUUUUUAAUCUAUCAACUCCCACAGUUGUGAAACUUGCUGCUAAAAUCUCUCCCAGUUUUACUGUCUAAAUCACUCUAUUGAUGAUUAUAGAAAUUGCUAUUAUUUUUUCAUAAUUUCUACUGGUGAACUGCCCAAACCUGUGUUUCAAUAGACCAGACAAUGUCUUUGGCUGUUGCUGUCCUCUCCUGUUUUCACUGCACACAGGUGAUGUAAUGUCUGGGUGGGUUUUGUUUUGGUUUUGCUUUUUUUUUUAAUACAAAGGAAAAGUGAAGACUAAUUGAGGAAUUCAGACAUUGACCAAAUUCUUUGCUGUGGGUGAGCAGGGAGCCAAGGAGUAAAUCCCUCUCCUUUGUCCUUGUGUUAUUGGAGCUGGGAUAAGUGACUGAAGCCUAUCAAGACAAGAUGGUGCUGUCCUGGAGAGGGGUUUCAGCCAAGGUCAGACACUCUGAGGAUGUCCUGAGUGUGGAGAAGAAGGAGCAGGAGUGGACUGGGCAGGUUUAUCCCUGAGGCUGCUCACCUGCCUGUAGGAGAUGAGGAUUGGGCUCUGCAGCCUGUAUUUGCUGCUUGGCCAUGGGAGGUCCUCUCCUGUGCUGCUGGGAGAGCUGGACAAAGGGUAGACAUGAAGAUCAGGACUCCUGAAGUGUGAGAAAGGGAGCUGGGAUUGCAAAAGCAGCUGCAGGCAGAGGGAAAGCUGCUGUUUUUUAAAGAAUAAACCUUUGCACAUGGGAUGUUUCA